UAGCGAGGUAGUUUAAUUUAGAGCGCUUGUUUUACACACAAGAGGUGGUUGGGUGUUCCCCUUGUUAU
rnacentral:tRNA from 1 species